UAGGUGUGGGGGGUCCAUUUCCACUGGGUUUCCGUGCCCGUAGGCUUAACGCUUUUAAAGUAACCCCGCCCUGGGGAGUACGGGCCGCAAGGGNUAAAACCUCAAAGGAAUUGACGGGGCCCCGCACAAGCGGCGGGAGCAUGCGGAUUAAUUNGAUGCAACGNGUAGAACCUUACCUGGNNUUGACAUGGAUCGGGAGGUGCUCAGAGAUGGGUGUGCCUCUUUUGGGGUCGGUUCACAGGUGGUGCAUGGCUGUCGUCAGCUCGUGUCGUGAGAUGUUGGGUUAAGUCCCGCAACGAGCGCAACCCUUGUUCACUGUUGCCAGCACGUUAUGGUGGGGACUCAGUGGAGACCGCCGGGGUUCAACUCGGAGGAAGGUGGGGAUGACGUCAAGUCAUCAUGCCCCUUAUGUCCAGGGCUUCACGCAUGCUACAAUGGCUGGUGCAGAGAGUGGCGAGCCUGUGAGGGUGAGCGAAUCUCGGAAAGCCCGGUCUCAGUUUCGGAUUGGGGGUCUGCCAACCUCGACCUCCAUGGAAGUCCGGA
rnacentral:rRNA from 1 species